rnacentral:rRNA from 1 species
CUGGCUCAGAACGAACGCUGGCGGCAUGGAUUAGGCAUGCAAGUCGAACGGUGCAGCAAUGCACAGUGGCGCAAGGGUGAGGAACGCGUGAGUAAUCUGCCCUCAAGUUGGGAACAGCUUCUGGAAACGGAAAUUAAUACCGAAUGUGAUCUUUGGGAGGCAUCUUUCAAAGAUUAAAGGCCGCAAGGUCGCUUGAGGAGGGGCUCGCGUCCCAUUAUGCUAGUUGGUGAGGUAACGGCCCACCAAGGCGAAGAUGGGUAGCUGGUCUGAGAGGACGAUCAGCCACACUGGGACUGAGAACUGCCCAGACUCCUACGGGAGGCUGCAGUCGAGAAUUUUGGGCAAUGGACGAAAGUCUGACCCAGCCAAUGCCGCGUGCGGGAUGAAGGUCUUCGGAUUGUAAACCGCUGUCAAGUGGGACGAAACAAAUGACGGUACCGCUGAAGGAAGUCACGGCUAACUACGUGCCAGCAGCCGC